rnacentral:sRNA from 1 species
UUUAGCCGUGAUUAAAAUGGCAUCCUUUUUUUGCUGCCAUAAAUGGCAAAAAAAGAUAUAAUGGAAAGCGCGAAAUAG